UUGUUUCUAACCUACCCAACCAGUUGUAUUGUUUCUAACCUACCCAACCAGUUGUAUUGUUUCUAACCUACCCAACCAGUUGUACUGUUUCUAACCUACCCAACCAGUUGUAUUGUUUUCUAACCUACCCAACCAGUUGUACUGUUUCUAACCUACCCAACCGUUGUACUGUUUUGCUACCUACCCAACCCUAGUCUGUUCUAUCACUUGUACUUUUCUAACCUACCCAA
rnacentral:lncRNA from 1 species